AUUAGCCUCAUAUCUCCCACCACACCUUGUUCUCUGCACAUAUGUAAUUGAAACAGGCGAACAGGAAAGAGCUCAGCCACUAUGAUGAAGAAGAUUUAAGUGCAGAUACUCGAUUGUGGUAAACUAACACAGAAAAGAAGAUGAGCUAUUCAAUGCCAGGCUACCUGUUGGUGUGCCCGAAAUUGGGAAGGUUUAGGAGAAAAAAAGCUUUGAUAAUAUCUCCAGGUCUCACGUGUCAUGUUUUCGCAAGAUGCAACAUAAAAGAUCCAGUGCGGAAAUUGGAAAAGAAAAUGAAAAUGAAAGAACAAAUAAAAACAUAAUAAAGAAAAGCUGCUCCUGGGGGUUUGAUUUGCCCGAGGACUUUUGCUGUACCAAGAAGUGCCGCAGAACCUCCCGUGUCAGUUUUCAUGGUCUCAGUCGAGCAACCAAGUCCGGUCUUGAUAUUUUGGCCACCACUAACAACAUUUAAGACAAGCAAUAUAAACUUGAAAAGAAAAAAGGCAGGCAUCUAAUCUCUAUCCUUGUUUUGUUUCCUAAAGUAACUGAAUUAUACAUGUAUCUUCUUGUUAGAAUAUAUUUAUGUAAGUAUAUGUGAAAUUACCUGUCAAGAGUUGAUCCUUUUCCAACUAGUGCUAACUUAGCUUUAAUAGGUCCACUUGGGGGUUUGUAGCACAAAUGGAUGAGAUAAGGGGAAUCUACAGAUGUUGCAGCAACACCCAUACAUACUAAAAUUAAUCAAAAUUAAUCAAUGGAAAAAGCGAAUCCAAGGAUCUAACUAGGGUCAUCUUAUAACAUACAUACUAAAAGCUAACCAACGUAGUUAGCUAAUUCUUGCUCCUUUUAUUUCAGAAUUGCGCCUACACUCGUCAACCAAUGGCAUGCACAUAAAACUUUUAGAAGCCCUUUAAAGAAUCAAUCCACAGUCAAAGGUCAAUGGUUUUUAAGAACAGAACUUGUAUCUCCAAACAAUCAAAGUUGACAGCUUU
rnacentral:lncRNA from 1 species